UAGCUGACCCAACUUAGUGUAAGCGUUAAGGAGGUGGUUGGCAACAAAUUUGUCUUUGAAACAGCCAGAGGUUAGUAUGAGAGAAUGCAGCUGUUUGGUGAGAGAAAAUGAUUUUUUUUGGAUGCAUGAUUUUAAAAGGUAAGAGAAAUGAGAUGGAUUGUCCCAUAUGAGGGAAAAAGAUUUUUUUUGGAUGCAUGAUUGUAGAAGGUAAGAGAAAUAAGAUGGGUUGUCCCAUAUUAGGAAAGAGAACUUAUUGAACGCUUCUUUUACGUAACCUUGAGAACAUAGGAUUGAAAACUCAGUGGCGGAUGUCGAGAACGGCCG
rnacentral:lncRNA from 1 species